UACGUAGGGCGCAAGCGUUGUCCGGAAUUAUUGGGCGUAAAGAGCUCGUAGGCGGUUUGUCGCGUCUGCUGUGAAAACCUAAGGCUCAACCUUGGGCUUGCAGUGGGUACGGGCAGACUAGAGUGCGGAGGGGUGACUGGAAUUCCUGGUGUAGCGGUGGAAUGCGCAGAUAUCAGGAGGAACACCGAUGGCGAAGGCAGGUCACUGGGCCGCAACUGACGCUGAGGAGCGAAAGCAUGGGGAGCGAACAGG
rnacentral:rRNA from 1 species